GUGGGGAAUAUUGGACAAUGGGCGCAAGCCUGAUCCAGCCAUGCCGCGUGAGUGAUGAAGGCCUUAGGGUUGUAAAGCUCUUUCAGUGGGGACGAUAAUGACGGUACCCACAGAAGAAGCCCCGGCUAACUUCGUGCCAGCAGCCGCGGUAAUACGAAGGGGGCUAGCGUUGUUCGGAUUUACUGGGCGUAAAGCGCACGUAGGCGGAUCGUUAAGUCGGGGGUGAAAUCCUGGAGCUCAACUCCAGAACUGCCUUCGAUACUGGCGAUCUUGAGUCCGGAAGAGGUGGGUGGAACUCCUAGUGUAGAGGUGGAAUUCGUAGAUAUUAGGAAGAACACCAGUGGCGAAGGCGGCUCACUGGUCCGGUACUGACGCUGAGGUGCGAAAGCGUGGGGAGCAAACAGGAUUAGAAACCCCGGUAGUCC
rnacentral:rRNA from 1 species